UAUAACGCUCUUUCUGGCGACUCCGACUGGAGGGCGUCUUGUACAAGGGAAUUGCGAACUUGGGAAGUGGAAAAUGAAUCAGAAAUUUGGAGGGGGGAAACCGCCAACUGGAACGCCGUCGUUACCUUGGUCGUGCGCAGUCGUGAUCGUUUCGCUCCUCGCCGGUGCCUCGGUCGUCCACAACAUAUUUAAGCCUGAUCUGACUUUGCCUCCAAUUGAGAAAAGCGUUGAUGGGGCUCAACGAGAACCCGUGGAAAAACACUGAUGAAUUUCCAGUUUCACUUGUCUGUUGAGGUGUAAUUCAGGAGUCACUCACUACCAGUACCAGCAGUGGUGCUUCAUAAAUUUAUACAUUUGAAACUUUUUUUAAGUAUAUACAAUUUCAUGAGUUCCACUGUGAUUUGGAUCCCCAUUUUUCCUUUUUUUGGUGGGGACUUGUCUUCUAGUAUUUGAAUUUCGGUUCAAGUUUGAUCUCUUCGUGACGUGUCUAGGGCAUGUUAAUAAUCCACAUCAAGUUAGAGAUGGAGAACUGCAACUGUCUUUGAGCUCAUUCUCAAUCCCCAAAUCCUUGCAAUAAUUUUUAGUGUAGUA